rnacentral:rRNA from 1 species
AUGAGGCAGGCGGUGGGCGCCGGUGACGAGGGGCUGUCGCGGAAGGUCGCCGUGGCGGCCGGGGACGCCGACGGGGCGACGGCCGCGCGCCGUCGCCGCCGGCUCGAGCUCCGGCCGCACGGGCGGAAGGUGGCGUCGGGCGAGGACGAGCCGGCGAAGAAGGCCACGGACGGGUCCGAGUCCGAGUCCUCCGCGGACGUGGGCCGCGGGAUCUGGCUGCCCGCGUGCCUGUCGCACGGCGCGGUGUCCGUGAUCGGCCGGCGCCGGGAGAUGGAGGACGCCGUGGCCGUCGAGCGCACCUUCCUGGCCUCCUCGCCGGACGCGUGCGGGGGAGGCGACGAGGGCAGCGGCGGGGAGGAGGACUUCUUCGCGGUGUACGACGGCCACGGCGGGGCGCGGGUGGCGGAGGCGUGCCGGGAGCGGAUGCACGUGGUGCUGGCGGAGGAGGUGGAGCGGCUGCGGUGCCGCCCCGGCGCGCGCGGCUGGAAGGAGGCCCUGGAGGCCAGCUUCGCGAGGGUGGACGGCGAGGUCGUGGCCGGCGCGGGCGCCGACGACGACGAGGAGUCGCGCUCCCGCACCGUGGGGUCGACCGCCGUGGUGGCCGUGGUGGGGCGCCGUCGCAUCGUCGUCGCCAACUGCGGCGACUCGCGCGCCGUGCUGUCCCGCGGUGGCGUGGCCGUGCCGCUCUCCACUGACCACAAGCCAGAUCGACCGGACGAGUUGCAGAGGGUGGAAGCGGCUGGCGGCAGGGUGAUCAACUGGAACGGGUCCCGUGUCCUAGGGGUCCUAUCCACCUCCAGAUCCAUUGGGGACUACUACCUGAAGCCGUACGUGAGCGCGGAGCCGGAGGUGACGGCGGUGGAGAGGACGGGCAAGGACGAGUUCCUGGUGCUGGCCAGUGACGGGCUGUGGGACGUGGUGUCCAACGACGAGGCGUGCCGGGUGGCGCGGAGCUGUCUCACCGGCCGUGCCGCCGCCGUGUUCCCGGAGUCUGUGGCCGGGCGCAGCGCCGCCGACGCCGCCGCGCUGCUCGCCGAGCUCGCCAUCACCCGCGGCAGCAAGGACAACAUCAGCGUCGUCGUGGUUGAGCUGAAGCGGCUCAAGAGCAGGGUAGGGCGUCGAGCCAUCGGAGGCGAGGUGCAGUUGUAG